CCUAGGGGAGGCAGCAGUGAGGAAUAUUGGUCAAUGGGCGCGAGCCUGAACCAGCCAAGUAGCGUGAAGGAUGAAGGUCCUAUGGAUUGUAAACUUCUUUUAUAGUAGAAUAAAGUGAGCCACGUGUGGUUUUUUGUAUGUAUACUAUGAAUAAGGAUCGGCUAACUCCGUGCCAGCAGCCGCGGUAAU
rnacentral:rRNA from 1 species